GGUGCCACUGCACUCCAGCCUUGGCAACAGAGUGAGACUCCAUCUCCAAAAAGAAAAACAAACAAACAAACAAAAAACCAAUUCGACACCAAAUUUUGGAACUUAAAAAGAAGAUUCUUAAAACUUACAAUCCAGAUUCUGGGAGUUCUGAUGAAUAUGCAGUCAGCCCAGGGCUUCCCAGCUGUCUUCAUCCAGGCCUGCGCCGGUGUUCACAGUGGUCCUCAUCUAAGCCAGCCAAGAAGAUCUCUGUCAUCCACGUGACAGCCAGCCCAGAUGUCCCUAGCCGUCCUCAUCAAGGCCAGCCAGUUUGCUUACACGUGUGCUAAUUGGAGCCAGCCACCCUCAUAGAGGCCAUCCCAGGGGCUGGGCACAGUGGCUCACGCCUGUAAUACCAACACUUUUGGAGGCCGAGGCAGGUGGAUCACUUGGUCAAGAGAUCGACACCAUCCUGGAUAACACGAUUACGAUGAGGACCUGGUGCAGGAAGCUUCAUCUGAAGAUGUCCUGGGCGUUCAUAUGGUGGACAAAGACACAGAGAGAGACAUUGAGAUGAAACGGCAACUACGGCGACUACGGGAGCUCCACCUAUACAGCACAUGGAAGAAGUACCAAGAGGCGAUGAAGACAUCCUUGGGAGUUCCACAAUGUGAGCGUGACGAAGGCUCCUUGGGCAAGCCAUUGUGUCCACCCGAGAUACUCUCGGAGACGUUGCCAGGCUCUGUGAAGAAAAGGGUAUGCUUUCCAUCAGAAGAUCAUCUAGAGGAGUUUAUAGCAGAACAUCUCCCUGAAGCAUCCAAUCAGAGUCUCCUCACUGUUGCCCAUGCAGACACAGGCAUCCAAACCAACGGUGACCUGGAAGACCUGGAGGAGCAUGGGCCAGGGCAGACAGUCUCUGAGGAAGCCACAGAAGUUCACAUGAUGGAGGGGGACCCAGACACACUGGCCGAACUUCUGAUCAGGGAUGUACUUCAGGAGCUGUCCAGUUACAACGGCGAGGAGGAGGACCCAGAGGAGGUGAAGACAUCCUUGGGAGUUCCACAACGUGGUGACCUGGAAGACCUGGAGGAGCAUGUGCCAGGGCAGACAGUCUCUGAGGAAGCCACAGGGGUUCACAUGAUGCAGGUGGACCCAGCCACACUGGCAAAGCAAUUGGAAGACUCCACCAUUACAGGCAGCCACCAGCAGAUGUCAGCAAGUCCUUCCUCUGCACCUGCAGAAGAAGCAACAGAAAAGACCAAAGUGGAAGAGGAAGUGAAAACCAGAAAGCCCAAGAAGAAAACCAGGAAGCCCAGCAAGAAAAGCCGGUGGAAUGUCCUGAAAUGUUGGGACAUUUUUAAUAUAUUUUAGAGACCUCUGAAGAUUCCUCGACCACCAGGAAGGGCCCCGACGUGGGGAUGUCAACAUGGCUCAGACUUGAUGUGGAUCGUGAUCAUUUCGGGAAAUGUGUUACUCCAAAAACUUUUAUAAUCUUUGCUUAAUUUGUUUUUAAAUACUUUCCUGGCUGGGCGUGGUGGCUUAUGCCUGUAAUCCCAGCACUUUGGGAGGCCGAGGCGGGUGGAUCACCUGAGGUCAGGAGUUAAAGACCAGCCUGGCCAACAAGGUGAAACCCCGUCUCUACUAAAAAUACAAAAAUUAGCUAGGCGUGGUGGCGCACUCUUGUAGUCCCAGCUAUUUGGGAGGCUGAGGCAGGAGAAUCACUUGACCUCAGGAGGCGGAGGUUGCAGUGAGCCGAGAUCAUGCCACUGCACCCCAGCACCUGGCUACAGAGUGAGACUUUGUCUCAAAAAAAAAAAAAAAAGAACAAAAAAAUUCUGACUUUAACCUCUGUUUUUCAGAGGGCACAAAUUGUUCUUGUAUUGUUUCCAUUUUACAUUUUUUUCUUGAAGUUAUUUUCCAAUUGUUUUCAUUCUUUCUGAAGUUUUGUUUACUCGGUUUUAAGUUUUUGUAAUUUUGAUAGACUUUUGUGCUUUCAUUUUCUUAAUGACUUUUACCUCAUUUUUAAAACAAAUCCAUAGUAUGGAUGAUAUUGAUGAUGAAAUGUCUUACGAUGAUCAUUUAGAGGUUUAUUUUGAACAACUGGCAAUUCCAGGAAUGAUGGAAUAAAGCAUACGAAGUAGAAGGACUGGAACCUCCAGAAAAAGUACUUUAAGUUACCUACAGGUGAUCCUAGUCAGGCAAAUGAAAACAGUAGCCUAAAGUGUCAGUUUCAACCAGAAAAUAACAGCUCUGAUUUCUCAUGGCUCAUACUCGUCUGAAACGACUCAGGUAGAGGCUGAGGAAGGCCGUGUUGUUUGUCUACCUGGGACUACACCUACUGAAAGAAGUUCUCAAGUUCUGAUUGAGUUCUAAAAUUUUUUGAAGAUUGGAAUUCUUCAUAUGUAAAAAGAGAAGAGAAAGACAUUCUUGAUUUUGGUGACUAGAGUUGUAGAUGCUGGAAGCUUUGCCACUAACAUUGAUGAACCAGAUGCAUGUCACCAGCCCAUCACGGUGAUUCUUAAUGCCGGCACCAUGGGCCCGGCACUGCCACGUUUUCCAAGGAACCUGCCGGAGCUCCUGCGGAAGCUGCUCCUCAGGCGAUGGAGUCCCUUCGCUGGUAGGCCCUUCUUCAGUCACCACAGGAUGCCUGCCAUUCAUGAACAAGAAGGAGAGGACGGGCUUUGAAUAAAAAACAGGAUCCAGGAAAUAUUUGUGAGGCCAUUUGGACUUCAGUGUGAAAUGGUGUUAAAAGAUGAAGUCAUUUAUUCAAGAAGUAAACCUCUGCCACCUGGACUGUGCGCAGACAUUUCAUUGAUUUUGUUUAAUAAACAUUUUCUGGCUUUGGGAGGUGUCUCUCUUGGUAGAACACAGUGUCAAAGAUGGACAAGAUGGACACAUAGUCCAUUAUUUGGUAUUGUUUGUGUAUGGGAGCAGACCACAAAUUAAUGUUUGGAGAACAAUUUUGUCAUAACACACUGUUGAGGCUCAGUUGUACAGAACUGGAAAAGUCUUCAGCUUGGCACAUGUCCUGAUUCAGCCUUUGUUUAACAUAUAUUCCAAUCCGGAUUCUAUCUUCACUGGCUACAAAGACCACCUGAUACGUGCACCACGACACAGGAGCUGCUGGAGAGGGGGUAGUGUUAUCACCUCAAACCCACAGCCAUAUUUUUCAAAAGCCAGCUUAGAGAGAGGUGUACUGAUAGCUGCAUAGAGAACAUGCAGUCCAUCCAUUCUUCCCAGUGAUGUACAUUUCUCAAUCAGUAACCACGUGGUAUACCAGCCUUGAGUGUCACAUCUCCCAACCAUACCAAAUGGAUCACCUAACUGGAGGUGGGGGGGGCCCUCAGAAAUGAGAUUUCGUAUUUACUGUAAAAUUGCCUUAUUUUUUCUUUUGAGGUGGAGUCUCACUCUGUUGCCUGGGCUGGAGUGCAAUGGUGUGAUCACUGCUCACUGCAACCUCCGCCUCCUGGGUUCAAGCAGUUCUCCUGCCUCAGCCUCCCAAGUAGCUGCAAUUACAGGUGCAUGCCACCACUCCCAGCAAAUUUUUAUAUUUUUAGUGGAGACAGGGUUUCACCAUGUUGACCAGGCUGGUCUCAAACUCCUGACCUCAGGUGAUCUGCCCACCUUGGCCUCCCAAAGUUCUGGGAUUAAAGGUACGAGCCACCGCAACUGGCUGAGAAUCUUUUUAUUUGCUGAUUUGUCUCUUGUGUAUUUUCUUUGUUCAGAUGUCUCUUCAGAUCUUUUUCUCACUUUUAAAUUGUUUUUUAAUUGUUAAGAAUUUUCUGUCUAGUUUAGAUAUAAGCCCUUUAUCAGACAUGUGUUUUGCAAAUAUUUUCUCCUAGUCUGUGGCUUGUAUUCUGUCUCUUAACACUCAUUUUAUUUUUACUUUUGGAACUAAAGAAGAAGAAUGGUCAGCUUUCCAUUAUUCUUGUAACAGUAAUGGCAGAACCAAGUCUGCUAAUGCUACACUGAGCAAAGAAAGUCACCUGGUGAAGUCCAACAUUAAUGAAAUGGGGUAGUACAUGCAGGCAGCGUUGGGGGUGGGGAGGGAACAAAUGCUUCUUGAGAGUAAUAUAAUCUGCCAUACCAUCCAGGAACCUACAAUGGCUAUCUAUUACCUUAUUCUCUGGUUUGUUUAAUGUUCGAAUCUUUCCGAAAGAUCCUUCAACCUUUCUGGAAGAAUCUAAUCUGAUAACACCAUCAAAAACACAUUACUUCUUUUGGCAUAAUUUAAAUUGUAAGACAUCAUUCACAUUUAUCAAUGUUACAUAUAUAAGAACUCACCCACCAUAUUCUUCCUUGAGGAAUUACAGCAUGUAAUUCUAUAAUCAUUUUUAUAAUCGUCUAACAAUUUUAUAAUGGAUUGGUUGCUUACUAUCAAUUUUUUAAAAGUCAUGGCUUCUCCAGUCAUUUCUUGCUUAUCGAAAUUAUUUCAUGAGAUGGGUCUCUCCUUGUAUAUUUGAAAAUGAGGUUUGCUUCCUUCUACUUAAAAAACAACUUGAACAUACCUGUUUGGAUCACAUGGUCUUGUCCUGAUAACUUGGAAGAGGUUGCUUCAGCAUUGUUCUUAUUGUUGUGGUGGUUAUUAUUAAUAUUGUUUCAUAUUCUGUUUAAAAAAUUAAAAUUUUACACAAGACCAAUGUCUUCUUUUCAAUUCCAGUACAUUUUUCAGAAGUAACUAAUGCUAUUGGCUUUGUGCAUUGUAAUUUCAGACCAUUUUAUAUGUCUUUAGUUAUAUGUACAGUAUACACACAUAUGUGUCAUAUUAUUCCAUUUUUUCUAGCAUUAAACAUUGCUAUGGAAAACUCUCGGAAAAAUAUUUAUUUGAACAGAACUUUUUCUUUUCUCAGAUGUACCCUCCUUAGGAAUCUUUCUUUGAUCCUUGAAGUUUGGUAACAACUUUAAAUAUGUGUAUCCCAGCUGGGAGCAGCGGCUCACACCUGUAAUUUCAGCACUUUGGGAGGCCGAGGAGGGUGGAUCACCUGAGGUCAGGAGUUUGCCUGGCCAACAUGGUGAAACCCCGUCUUUACUGAAAAUACAAAAAGUUAGCCAGGUGUGGUGGCUGGCACCUGUAAUCCCAGCUACAUGGGAGGCUGAGGCAGGAGAAUCGCUUGAACCUAUAGAGACAAGGUUUCACCAUGUUGACCAGGCUGGUCUCGAACUCCUGACCUCAGGUGAUCCACCCACCUCAGCCUCCCAAAAUGCUGGGAUUACAGGCAUGAGCCAUUGCACCCAGCCAUACAGGAGCAAGUUUAAAAAUUAAAUAUUUAUUUGAAUAACAAGCUUACAUUGGAGCUGCAAUGUUGGCAAUCCAGAUUUUGAACACGGAUCACAAAAAGCAUGCAUAAAAUCCUACUGGCCCAGAGAACAAAACACUGCUCAGAAUUAAGCGAAAUAGCUGCUACUGUUAAGAAAACAGGCCUGAAAUCAAUAUACAAGAUUUUAAAAAAUGUAUUGGCCGGAUGCAGUGGCUCAUUCCUGUAAUUCCAGAACUUUGGGAGGCCAAGACAGGAGAAUCACCUGAGGUCAGGAGUUCAAGACCAGCCUGGCCAACAUGGUGAAACUCCAUCUCUACUAAAAAUAAAAAAUUAGCUGGGUGUGGUGACACAUGCCUGUAGUCCCAGCUACCUGGGAGGCUGAGGCAGAAUAAUUUCUCGAACCCAGGAGGAGGAGGUUUGCAAUGGCAUGAUCUCUGCUCACCGCAACCUCCGCCUCCCGGGUUCAAGCAAUUCUCCUACUUCAGCCUCCCGAGUAGCUGGGAUUACAGGCAUGUGCCACCAUGCCUGGCUACUUUUCUGUAUUUUUAGUAGAGACAGAGUUUCUCCAUGUUGGUCAGGCUGGUCUUGAACUCACAACCUCCGGUGAUCUGCCUGCCUCGGCCUCCCAUAGUGCUGGGAUUACAGGCAUGAGCCACCAUGCCUGCCCAUGAAAGCACUUUUAAAAAGAGAGCACCUCUGCUGCCUGGUCAUAUUCUGUACCUGUUCCCAAACCCUGAAACCAGUGAUGUCAAUGGCUGCGUGGGCAUUGAACGUGUACAUGAUUCCUGCAGCUUUCCUGUUGACCUGGACCAUGUUCAUCAAUGCUUUUUGGUACAUUAAUUCUACAUCUUCUUCGGUGACCACAGUUUAUGUUUAUUUCAUUUUUCAGGAAUAUCCAGCCACUGGUGCACAGCCAUUGCCACUUGUGCCCCCAGGGGAUCUUGUCAACUCCAGUAUGUCCCCCCAGCACUGUGUUAUCUGGCAUAAUAAAUGUAGUUGGGCUGUAGUUGUAGUGACUCCUCCCAAAACAACCCAGGAGUUUAAUACUGUUUGGCCACCGGUUACAGACAUUGCUGCCCCUUCCGCUGCGGCUUUAAAAGCCUAUCUAAUCGGCUGGGUGUGAUGGUGGCUCAGACCUAUAAUCCCAGCACUUUGGGAGUCCAAGGUGGGUGGAUCACCUGAGGUCAGGAGUUUGAGACCGGCCUGGCCAACAUGGUGAAACCCCAUCUCUACUAAAAAUACAGCAAAUUAGCUGGGCGUGGUGGCGCAUGACUGUAAUCCCAGCUACUCGGGAGGCUGAGGUAGGAGAAUUGCUUGGGUGGCAGAGUAAGACUCCGUCCCAAAAAAAAAAGUUAUCUAAUCAGGGACGUCACCUUUCCCUGCCAGUCAUUUUGUUACCAAUGAAAGAAAACAUAUUCAAAUCAAUUUUUAGUUCAGAAAAUGUUUCUUUCAUUGUAUCUUUGAAUUUUAUUGUUCUGCAUUUUUUACUUCAAAAACACCUACUAUAUGCAUUUUUUCUCUCGUUUCCUUUUUUUUCCAAGAAAUGUUUUUGUCCUUUUGAUUUUUUCACUGACCAUUACCAUUAUUUAUAUACCAUGUACCUGGAGAGUUUCCAAUGUUUCUCUUUGGUCUGAGAUACUUGCUAUGAUUUUCACUUUUUAAAUGCUCUUUUGAGAUUUGUUUUGUGGCCUAAAAUGUGGUCUAUCCUGGAGAAUGUUCUGUGAGCUGAUGAGAAGAAUGCACGUUCUGCAGUUGGUGGGUGAAAUGUUCUGUAAUUACCUGUGAGGUCCCUUUGACUUCUCUUGGAGUCAGUCUGGUCUGUUACUUUUCUGCCUAGAGGGUGUGUCUGUUGCUGAAAGUGGGUGUUGGAGUCCCCAGCUAUUAUUGUCUGUCUCUGUCUGUUGCUCGAAUAACUCUUACUUUAAUAACUGGGGCUCCUGUGUCAGGUGUGUUUACAUUGACAACUGUCCUACCUUCUUGCUGAAUUGAUCUCUUUAUCGUUUUAUAAUGACCUUUAUUUUCUAUUUUUGUGCUUUUUUGACUUAAAGCCUACUUUGUGUGACAAGCAUAGCUAUACAUACUCACUUUUGGUAACACUUUUCAUUUCUUAUCAUCUUCAUUGAAUCUCACUUCUUCACAUUUACCAAAAUGUCUACUUUUGAGCUGUGGCACCUCUUUGAAUCUUCAGAUCCACCACAUGCUGAUCAAGCCUUCCUUUUUGUCUGUACUCUGAGGAAUCCCAAACAGGCAUUUUUGCAAGAAAGUCUAGGAGGGAAACAUAAAUCUAUGUGUCAAAAAAAUGAACAUAGAAAAUAAUGUGUCCUGGUUAACAAAAGUUCUCAUUGUAAAGUGUUAGGCACAAGACUAUGGAAUUUCAUGUGCCAUAAAUAAAAUUGUCUUGAUUUGUCUAAAACUACAUUUUGUCUAAAACUACUUUUAAAAAUUACAUGUUACUCUAAUA
rnacentral:lncRNA from 1 species